UACAGAGGGUGCGAGCGUUGUCCGGAAUCACUGGGCGUAAAGGGCGCGUAGGCGGCCUGGUAAGCGUGCGGUGAAAGCCCGGGGCUCAACCCCGGGUCGGCCGUGCGAACUGCGAGGCUGGAGCACUGUAGAGGCAGGUGGAAUUCCGGGUGUAGCGGUGGAAUGCGUAGAGAUGCGGAGGAACACCGAUGGCGAAGGCAGCCCCCUGGGCUAACACUGACGCUCAGGCACGAAAGCGUGGGGAGCAAACAGG
rnacentral:rRNA from 1 species